GACAAACGCUGGCGGCGUGCCUAACACAUGCAAGUCGAACGAAGCUGAAAAAGCUUGCUUUGGAUUCAGCUUAGUGGCGGACGGGUGAGUAACGCGUGAGCAAUCUGCCUUAAUGAGGGGGAUAACGGCUGGAAACGGCCGCUAAUACCGCAUGACAUACCGAUACGGCAUCGUAAAGGUAUCAAAGGAGCAAUCCGCAUUAAGAUGAGCUCGCGUCCGAUUAGAUAGUUGGCGGGGUAACGGCCCACCAAGUCGACGAUCGGUAGCCGGACUGAGAGGUUGAACGGCCACAUUGGGACUGAGAUACGGCCCAGACUCCUACGGGAGGCAGCAGUGGGGAAUAUUGGUCAAUGGGCGAGAGCCUGAACCAGCCAAGUCGCGUGAAGGAAGAAGGUUCUAUGGAUUGUAAACUUCUUUUGCAGGGGAAUAAAGGACGGUACGUGUACUGUUUUGUAUGUACCUUGCGAAUAAGGAUCGGCUAACUCCGUGCCAGCAGCCGCGGUAA
rnacentral:rRNA from 1 species